rnacentral:lncRNA from 1 species
CUGCUGAACCACAACCACAGCCCCCUUCACUUAUUCUUUAAUGCUCUUUCUUCUUCCCUCCCCACAUCCCAGGGAUGCUUUACCACUGAGCUACAUUCCCAUCCCGUUUUAAUUUUUGAGACAGGGUCUUGCUAAAAUGUUCAGACUGUUCUUCAACUUUUGAUCCUGCUUCGUCUUCCUAAGUCACUGGGAUUAUAGGCAUGCACCAUUGUCCCAGCUUCUUCACUUUUGAAGGAUAAUUUUUCAGGAUACAUAAUUCUAGAUUGGUAGGUUUUUCUCCCAACAUUUUUUUUAAGUAUCAAAGAUUUCUUUUUUUUUUAAAUUUUUUUUUUAGUUGUUCAUAGGCCCUUAUUUUAUUUAUAUGUGGUGCUGAGAAUCGAACCCAGUGCAUCACACAUGCCAGGCAAGUGUGCUACUGCUGAGCCAUAGCCCCAGCCCCUCUCCCAACAUUUUAAACAAGUCACCUCAUUCUCUUUUUACUUUCUUUCUUUCUUUUUUUAGUUGGACACAAUAUAUUUUGUUUUUAUGUGGUGCUGAGAAUUGAACCCAGUGCCUCACGCAUGCUAGGCGAGUGUGCCACCACUUGAGCCACAUCCCCAGCCCCCCUCUUUUUACUUUCUUGAUUUAUGAAGAGAAGCUGGAUAAUUUUUUUUUAAGAGAGAGAGAAAGGGAGGGAGGGAAGGAGGGAGGGGGAGGGAGAAUUUUGAUAUUUAUUUAUUUUUUAGUUUUCGGUGGACACAACAUCUUUUGUUUGUAUGUGGUGCUGAGGAUCGAACCCAGGCCGCAUGCAUGCCAGGCGAGC